rnacentral:rRNA from 1 species
GUUGAACGCUGGCGGCAGGCCUAACACAUGCAAGUCGAACGAGUGGCGGACGGGUGAGUAAUGUCUGGGAAACUGCCCGACGGAGGGGGAUAACUACUGGAAACGGUAGCUAAUACCGCAUACCAUCGGAUGUGCCCAGGUGGGAUUAGCUAGUAGGUGGGGUAACGGCUCACCUAGGCGACGAUCCCUAGCUGGCCUGAGAGGAUGACCGGCCACACUGGAACUGAGACACGGCCCAGACUCCUACGGGAGGCAGCAGUGGGGAAUAUUGCGCAAUGGGCGCAAGCCUGAUGCAGCCAUGCCGCGUGUAUGAAGAAGGCCUUCGGGUUGUAAAGUACUUUCAGUGGGGAGGCGUUACUCGCAGAGGAAGCACCGGCUAACUCCGUGCCAGCAGCCGCGGUAAUAC